rnacentral:rRNA from 1 species
UACGUAGGGUGCAAGCGUUACUCGGAAUUACUGGGCGUAAAGCGUGCGCAGGCGGUUGUGCAAGACAGAUGUGAAAUCCCCGGGCUCAACCUGGGAAUUGCGAUGGAGACUGCAAGGCUGGAGUCUGGCAGAGGGGGGUAGAAUUCCACGUGUAGCAGUGAAAUGCGUAGAGAUGUGGAGGAACACCGAUGGCGAAGGAAGCCCCCUGGGUCAAGACUGACGCUCAUGCACGAAAGCGUGGGGAGCAAACAGG